UACAAAGGGGGCUAGCGUUGCUCGGAAUCACUGGGCGUAAAGCGCACGUAGGCGGAUCGUUAAGUCAGGGGUGAAAUCCUGGAGCUCAACUCCAGAACUGCCUUUGAUACUGGCGAUCUUGAGUUCGGGAGAGGUGAGUGGAACUGCGAGUGUAGAGGUGAAAUUCGUAGAUAUUCGCAAGAACACCAGUGGCGAAGGCGGCUCACUGGCCCGAUACUGACGCUGAGGUGCGAAAGCGUGGGGAGCGAACAGG
rnacentral:rRNA from 1 species